UUCUUGUGUUGAAUUCAUGUCUAAGUUAUCGUUGAGUUUAAUCGGGAAGAUAUUGCAUCUCGUGUGUCAAGUUUGUUUUUCUGUUCGCUAUUCGUCUGACGACGCAAAAGCUGUUGUGCCAGUGCCGUGCCUCUUAUAUACUGUACUACACCGUGCCGUAACUACAAGUCGUACAACUUGCCGGACCAGCUUCGACCUUGCCGGGCGCCGAAGAAAACGAGGAAUAAAGCGAUAGGGGGCACAAGCAGAGAGUGCGGACCCUGGCUACGAACGGACAAGAAUGGUCUGGUUUCUUUACAUUGGCGCAGCGGACAGGAAUUCGAAAAAAUUGGUGCCUGAUGUCAAGCACACCAAAGAAAAGGCGAUACAGCAUUUGCACCACAUCACCUGACAUAUAUGUGAAAGCAUACUUGAGCAAAUAAGCCUCAGAACAUCAGUUUCUCUCUUGGUCGAAAACCGCAUUGAUUAUAGGCUGUUAUUCACUUCGAGGAGAGGAAUUACUGUCGCGACCUUCCAUGCUGACGGCAUUUGACCACUACCCCAGACGUCAUUGAAAAACUUCUUUGGAUUUUUCUGAGAAAUGGACAAGCAUGGAGUAGGUGAUUCGGUCUGGGCCCGGAGCACUAACAUUUACUGAUGAUAGUGCCUGCAGGAGCUCACGGGCAGUGAAAGGUUGGUUAUAUGCACAGUUCCCAUCUCCCGUUGUUGUGACAAUUCGCUGUUCUUCACGUCGCUUGACACUUAAGAAUUUGUCUGUGUAAUGGGAGGAAUUUGAUAUAUUGUGAAAGUGCUGACCCAAUACAUCAGCUUGUUCAUUUAGGCUCCUGCAUGGAAUUCCAUUUACCUCUAGCAGAGGGACAGAAAAACUUCUGUACUCUCCUUUGAUCUUUCUGAUUCUGUCCCACACUAUCUUUGAUGGGGUCUUGUGCGUUAAAGACGAGACAAAAUUGCGCCA